rnacentral:rRNA from 1 species
CAGUAGCCACGGGAAUACGAAGGGGGCUAGCGUUGUUCGGAUUUACUGGGCGUAAAGCGCACGUAGGCGGACUUUUAAGUCAGGGGUGAAAUCCCGGGGCUCAACCCCGGAACUGCCUUUGAUACUGGAAGUCUUGAGUAUGGUAGAGGUGAGUGGAAUUCCGAGUGUAGAGGUGAAAUUCGUAGAUAUUCGGAGGAACACCAGUGGCGAAGGCGGCUCACUGGACCAUUACUGACGCUGAGGUGCGAAAGCGUGGGGAGCAAACAGGAUUAGAUACCCCGGUAGUCCCUGUCUCUUAUAA